rnacentral:hammerhead_ribozyme from 1 species
AUCCAGCUGACUAGUCCCAAAUAGGACGGAACGAGUGCCCUGGAU